GAUGAACGCUGGCGGCGUGCUUAACACAUGCAAGUCGAACGGAAAGGCCUCAGCUUGCUGGGGUACUCGAGUGGCGAACGGGUGAGUAACACGUGGGUGAUCUGCCCUGCACUUUGGGAUAAGCCCGGGAAACUGGGUCUAAUACCGAAUAUGACCACUUCUUGGAUGUUGUGGUGGAAAGCUUUUGCGGUGUGGGAUGAGCCUGCGGCCUAUCAGCUUGUUGGUGGGGUAAUGGCCUACCAAGGCGGCGACGGGUAUCCGGCCUGAGAGGGUGUACGGACACAUUGGGACUGAGAUACGGCCCAGACUCCUACGGGAGGCAGAAGUGGGGAAUAUUGCACAAUGGGCGCAAGCCUGAUGCAGCGACGCCGCGUGGGGGAUGAAGGCCUUCGGGUUGUAAACUCCUUUCGCUAUCGACGAAGCCACUUGUGGUGACGGUAGGUAGAUAAGAAGCACCGGCUAACUACGUGCCAGCCGCCGCAGUAA
rnacentral:rRNA from 1 species